UGUUAAAAAGUUAAAACUAGCUGCGAAUGUGUAUUAUCGUUAUAAAGAAAUAGUCUGUGAAUAUGUGGUAUUUAAAUGUAUAUAGGUUUCUUUUACUGAUUGUUUGUUUAUGUUUAUAUAUAUUCACGGCUUUUGAGUGACGGAUAUAAUCGCAAGAACGAUUUUAUAUCAUGGAUGAAAUUGAGUGAUUUUUGUGAACGAAAACUACAAAAUAAAGAAAACUGAUAUCUUCGCUUGAGACAAUCGUAUAUAGCUCAACAUGUUCAUGAAAUACCAUUGUAAUGUUUCUGAAGUGUCAAAACAUCUAGUGACAAAGUAUGAAGACCAUAUAUCUAAUAAACUUCGUAAUAGCAGUUUACAUGCAAGAUCUCUGCACAUCACAGUGCAUUAACAACUGUCGGUAUUGUAAUAACGGGCAAUGCACCGCUUGCAAUGAUGGAUUUUAUUUGGCCAAUUACCAAAGUGGUAGCCAAUU